rnacentral:rRNA from 1 species
GUGAGGAAUAUUGGUCAAUGGGCGGGAGCCUGAACCAGCCAAGUCGCGUGAAGGAAGAAGGAUCUAUGGUUCGUAAACUUCUUUUGCAGGGGAAUAAAGUGCAGGACGUGUCCUGUUUUGUAUGUACCCUGAGAAUAAGGAUCGGCUAACUCCGUGCCAGCAGCCGCGGUAAUACGGAGGAUCCGAGCGUUAUCCGGAUUUAUUGGGUUUAAAGGGUGCGUAGGUGGUUUGAUAAGUCAGCGGUGAAAGUUUGCAGCUUAACUGUAAAAAUGCCGUUGAAACUGUCGGACUUGAGUGUAAAUGAGGUAGGCUGAAUGCGUGGUGUAGCGGUGAAAUGCAUAGAUAUCACGCAGAACUCCGAUUGCGAAGGCAGCUUACUAAGCUACAACUGACACUGAAGCACGAAAGCGUGGGGAUCAAACAGGAUUAGAUACCCUAGUAGUCC